UACGUAGGGUGCGAGCGUUAAUCGGAUUUACUGGGCGUAAAGAGCGCGCAGGCGGCCAAGUCAGUCGAAUGUGAAAGCCCCCGGCUCAACUGGGGAGGGUCAUUCGAUACUGCUCGGCUCGAAGACAGGAGAGGGAAGUGGAAUUCCCGGUGUAGUGGUGAAAUGCGUAGAUAUCGGGAGGAACACCAGUGGCGAAGGCGACUUUCUGGCCUGUUCUUGACGCUGAGGCGCGAAAGCUAGGGGAGCAAACGGG
rnacentral:rRNA from 1 species